rnacentral:ncRNA from 2 species
UACGUAGGGAGCGAGCGUUGUCCGGAAUCAUUGGGCGUAAAGAGCGCGUAGGUGGAUCAAUUAGUCUGCUGUGAAAGUCAAAGGCUCAACCUUUGAAAGCCGGUGGAUACUGUUGAUCUAGAGUACGGAAGAGGCGAGUGGAAUUCCUGGUGUAGCGGUGGAAUGCGCAGAUAUCAGGAGGAACACCAAUAGCGAAGGCAGCUCGCUGGGACGUUACUGACACUGAGGCGCGAAAGCGUGGGGAGCAAACAGG